UCAACCUGGUUGAUCCUGCCAGUAGUCAUACCUUUGCAUCAAAGAUUUACACAUGCAUGUGUCAGAUUAAAAGAAUUAAUCUUGAAUCUGCGAAUGGCUCAUUAUAUCAGUUAUAGUUUACACGGUAAUCAAAAGCUACACGGAUAACUGUGGCAAUUCUAGAGCUAAUACGUGCGUCAAGGCAUUUCCCAUUU
rnacentral:rRNA from 1 species